GUCUGAUGGAGCACGCCGCGUGAGUGAAGAAGGGUUUCGGCUCGUAAAACUCUGUUGUUAGAGAAGAACAGCCGUGAGAGCAACUGCUCACGGUAUGACGGUAUCUAACCAGAAAGUCACGGCUAACUACGUGCCAGCAGCCGCGGUAAUACGUAGGUGGCAAACGUUGUCCGGAUUUAUUGGGCGUAAAGGGAGCGCAGGCGGUUUAUUAAGUCUGAUGUGAAAGCCUUCGGCUUAACCGGAGAAGUGCAUCGGAAACUGAUAAACUUGAGUGCAGAAAAGGAUAGUGGAACUUCAUGUGUAGCGGUGAAAUGCGUAGAUAUAUGAAGGAACACCAGUGGCGAAGGCGGCUAUCUGGUCUGUAACUGACGCUGAGGCUCGAAAGCAUGGGUAGCAAACAGGAUUAGAUACCCUGGUAGUCCAUGCCGUAAACGAUGAAUGCUAGGUGUUGGAAGGUUUCCGCCUUUCAGUGCCGCAGCUAACGCAUUAAGCAUUCCGCCUGGGGAGUACGACCGCAAGGUUGAAACUCAAAGGAAUUGACGGGGACCCGCACAAGCGGUGGAGCAUGUGGUUUAAUUCGAUGCUACGCGAAGAACCUUACCAGGACUUGACAUCUUCUGCCAAUCUAAGAGAUUAGACGUUCCCUUCGGGGACAGAAUGACAGGUGGUGCAUGGUUGUCGUCAGCUCGUGUCGUGAGAUGUUGGGUUAAGUCCCGCAACGAGCGCAACCCUUGUCUUUAGUUGCCAGCAUUAAGUUGGGCACUCUAGAGAGACUGCCGGUGAUAAACCGGAGGAAGGUGGGGGAUGACGUCAAAUCAUCAUGCCCCCUUAUGUCCUGGGCUACACACGU
rnacentral:rRNA from 2 species